rnacentral:lncRNA from 1 species
GCAGUCAGAAUGCUCCUUCUGAUCUUAAUGGCUCUUUUUUAUGUUAUUUCAAACAAAGUGGGCCGCUCCUGAGUGACAAGCAUGGCUCCUUACAGGCAUGGAGGCACUUGAGGAUGUCAUUAAAACACCACACAACUUUCUGCUGGUGACAGGUUAAGUAGGCGAAGGUUCCUUGAUGUCAGAAGGGAUUCUGAGUGGUGGCAGGUUACGAGUUUGAAACCUUAUAACCGAUUGUGCUGAUCUCUUGAAGCAGUGAACGCAGAAUCCGAUUUUAAAAUAACAUGUGUGCUAUACAGGGCAGAAAAUAAUUGUCUUUCAUGUCACAGCAGCAGGAAGGAGAGAGCAUGACCUUUGACCCUAGACUGGAUCACGAAGGAAUCUGCUGUAUAGAGUGCAGACGGAGCUACAUCCACUGCCAGAAGAUCUGCGAACCGCUGGGAGGUUACUACCCGUGGCCUUAUAAUUACCAAGGGUGUCGCUCAGCCUGCAGAGUGGUCAUGCCGUGCAGCUGGUGGGUUGCCCGCAUCUUGGGCAUGGUGUAAAUCCAUUUCAUCUAUCAGCACUGCCAAGCAAGAAUUAGCACGAGAGUUGAGAACCAAAGAACCAUGCCAAGGGACCGCAAAGUAUUUUAUACUCAACCUGAAUAACGUUAUCCUAAACGCUGCAGCAGAACCUUGGUUGUGCACCGCUGUGUGCAAAUGUACUGAAAGGGUAGUUUUAAGUCUACAGUUACUAUCCCUUUACUAUUUGCUUUACCAAUAAAGUCUACUGCAAGUCUUUAAAAGCUACUUUUGAAAUAAACAUGAAGUUAUUUACUAUUUGUCCCAG